AGUGGCGAACGGGUUAGUACAAGUUGGGUGACCUUCCCGGAAGUGGGGGACAACCCCGAGAAACCGGGGCUAAUACCGCAUACGGACUCAGGGCUGCGGCCUUGCGUCCAAAGCAGUGAUGCGCUUCCGGAUGGGCCCGACCCCCAUUAGCUAGUUGGUGAGGUAACGGCUCACCAAGGCUACGAUGGGUAGCUGGCUUGAGAGAGUGGUCGGCAACACGAGGACUGAGAUACGGCCUCGACUCCUACGGGGGGCAGCAGUCUAGAGGCUUCGGCAAUGGGCGAAAGCCUGACCGAGCGACGCCGCGUGCAGGAUGAAGGCCUUUGGGUCGUAAACUGCUUUCGACUGGGAAGAAUGCUCCGGUGGCGAACCGGGGAGAGACGGUACCAGGAGAAGAAGCCCCGGCUAACUUCGUGCCAGCAGCCGCGGUAAUACGAAGGGGGCAAGCGUUAUUCGGAUUCAUUGGGCGUAAAGGGCGCGUAGGUGGCUGGGCAAGUCCGGUGUGAAAACGCUACCGCUCAACGGAGCGAAUGCGCUGGAUACUGCUCAACUUGAGUACGGAAGAGGUUGGCGGAAUACCCGGUGUACCGGUGGAAUGGGUAGAGAUCGGGUAGAACACCCUGUGGCGAAGGCGGCCAACUGGUNCGGUACUGACACUGAUGCGCGAAAGCGUGGGGAGCAAACGGGAUUAGAUA
rnacentral:rRNA from 1 species